AAAAAAGUUGGGCUUGUGAAGCUAGGGCUUGUGUGGAUAUCAAGUCUCAAAAGCAUGGUCUAACCAUGUCAUCAAGCAUAGAGAUGUGAAACCCUAAUUGUGGUGGUAAAGGCUUGAACUCAACAAGGAUUUGUCCAAGCAAUCCUCUAGGGUAUUUAAAACUCUAAUUUCUCAAGGCAUGAUCUUAUGAAGCUUCCCUAGGCCUUGUCUUGGUCUUCAAAACCCUAAUGCAGGUUCAC
rnacentral:lncRNA from 1 species